rnacentral:rRNA from 1 species
AGAACGAACGCUGGCGGCAUGCCUAACACAUGCAAGUCGAACGAGACCUUCGGGUCUAGUGGCGCACGGGUGCGUAACGCGUGGGAAUCUGCCCUUCGGUUGGGAAUAACACAGAGAAAUUUGUGCUAAUACCUUAUAAUGUCUUCGGACCAAAGAUUUAUCGCCGAGGGAUGAGCCCGCGUAGGAUUAGCUAGUUGGUGGGGUAAUGGCCUACCAAGGCGACGAUCCUUAGCUGGUCUGAGAGGAUGAUCAGCCACACUGGGACUGAGACACGGCCCAGACUCCUACGGGAGGCAGCGAGUGGGGAAUAGUUGGACAAUGGGGGACAAAGCCUGAUCCAGCAAUGCCGCGUGAGUGAUGGAAGGUCCGUUAGGGUUGUAAAGCUUACUUUUACCGAGGGUAUAGAUUAAUGAACUAGUACCGUAGGAAGAAUAACGCUCCCGGACUAACCUCCGUCGCCGAGCCGACG